AAAUUUUUUAUUUAUCUUUCAAAUUUCAGAAUAUUACAUAAAAAACAAUGGUGAACUAUGCCAAAACUUUCCACUUUUCCAUCAGACUCUUAAAAAGUGUGUCAGGCAAAAAAAAAAAAAAAAAAAGUUAGGAUCUCAUGGCUGAUGUAAAGGGUUUUCUUCUUGUUCACAUUACAAUACCUUUCCUAUAAGUAACAAGCACUCUAACUUUUGUCUCGGUAUUCAACAGACAGGCACAUAGCAUUGUACGGCCCUGCCAAUGUGCCAGACACUGCUUUAAGUGCAUCACUUAAAACAUUUCAUGCUCACAGGGACUCUCUCUGAUGGAGAUAAUAUAUAUUUACAGAUGAGGAAACUGAGGCACACAAAGGGCAAGUAACUCAGGUCAGAGUUAGCAUACAGUGGAGCCGGGAUUCAAGUCUGGAUAGUCUGCCUUAAAAGUGCCACCUGGUCCCAUCAGCUGACUCUCAUUCCUCAUCACGUUAGGCGGGAGGAUUCCAAAUCAUAUUAUUUUCAACUGUAGAAUCAAGGCUCUUUACGAUUGUUGACAUAACUUACACUGUUACCCCAAAUUUACAUGGGGAAGGAAUUUGAAAGUUCUACAAAAGCGCUUGUAGUGUGUGCGUGUCACUGUUGGCAACUGCCAGUAUCAACACCCUGUACCUGCAUUUAGUCUAUAGUUUUGUGUUUCCAUAAUACAAUCACGCAUUCAAGCAGCUCCCAUACCUCUUUUAAAUCCAACCUUUCCAUUCGACUGGGACGUAUGGACAAUGAUAAUUGCUUCUAAAGUUGAAUAAUGAUCAGAAACUGCUUUAAUAAUACAAACAACAAUCUUUAAAACAUCACUAGGUUUUCUACAAUGUCAUAAUCAUUUUAUGUUGACUCAACAUUUUGAAAGGGGGAAAAAAAGCAUUCUCAAUAAAGUUUUUACUUUUCCCUAGGCUUUGAAAGAAUGAUAGGAUUGUCAAUGGGCUUCUUUAAAUAGAACAUUUUGUCAUUUCCACGUCAAAAGAUUAACUUAAAGGAGCUGUUAACACUUGCCAUGGGCUGGGGUGGGAACAGGAGUAGCCAGGCAGCACUUGCUUUUAGGCCCCUAGCGGCUGCCUUACCUCUACUUGCUUUCACCUUCCAACUGCCUGGAGAAUAAGAAGUGCCUUACUGCCUUGGGUAAAAGAGGCUUCAUUGACAAAACACAACUGAAAAGGAAAGGGAAAAGAGGUAUAUUUUAAGGCAUAACGAGUCCUACAUGCCUUAGGACCGUAUCAAGAUUCCUUAAGUAAAUGAAAAUGGGAGCUCCUCAGACUGAAGGCUGCCAACAGUGAGAUUCUCUGCCCACGGCUGUGGAUCAUCUGAAUUUUAGAAUUCUAAGUUCCUAGAGGGAAAGACUGCCUGCUGAUUUUUCAAGUCACA